AUGGCGUAACGACUUCUCAACUGUCUCAACCAUAGACUCGGCGAAAUUGCACUACGAGUAAAGAUGCUCGUUACGCGCGGCAGGACGAAAAGACCCCGGGACCUUCACUAUAGCUUGGUAUUGGCGUUUGGUUCGGUUUGUGUAGGAUAGGUGGGAGACUGUGAAGCAGGCACGCCAGUGUUUGUGGAGUCAUCGUUGAAAUACCACUCUGAUCGUAUUGAACCUCUAACCUCGGACCGUAUAUCCGGUCCAGGGACAGUGCCUGGUGGGUAGUUUAACUGGGGCGGUUGCCUCCCAAAAUGUAACGGAGGCGCCCAAAGGUUCCCUCAACCUGGACGGCAAUCAGGUGUUGAGUGCAAGUGCACAAGGGAGCUUGACUGCGAGACCUACAAGUCAAGCAGGGACGAAAGUCGGGACUAGUGAUCCGGCACCUCUGAGUGGAAGGGGUGUCGCUCAACGGAUAAAAGGUACCCCGGGGAUAACAGGCUGAUCUUCCCCAAGAGUCCAUAUCGACGGGAUGGUUUGGCACCUCGAUGUCGGCUCGUCGCAUCCUGGGGCUGGAGCAGGUCCCAAGGGUUGGGCUGUUCGCCCAUUAAAGCGGCACGCGAGCUGGGUUUAGAACGUCGUGAGACAGUUCGGUCUCUAUCCGCCGCGCGCGUCAGAAACUUGAGGAAACCUGUCCCUAGUACGAGAGGACCGGGACGGACGAACCUCUGGUGUACCAGUUGUUCCACCAGGAGCACGGCUGGAUAGCUAC
rnacentral:rRNA from 1 species